rnacentral:rRNA from 1 species
AAGUCGUAACAAGGUUUCCGUAGGUGAACCUGCGGAGGAUCAUUACAGAUUGUUAUCACAAUCUCUCUAUUAUUCUCUCCCCUUUGUGCACCUUAUUGCAUGGGCUUAGUAGUGGUCUGUUGUAGUGACACAGAAGUGGUACUACACACUGCAAAAAGCUUAUGUGAUUUUACUUCAAAUACUAUACACUAUCUGUAUGGCAUUGUUGUGCAUAUUUAUGAGCAUAAUGAAAUAUACAACUUUCAGCAAUGGAUCUCUUGGCUCUCGCAUCGAUGAAGAACGCAGCGAAAUGCGAUAAGUAAUGUGAAUUGCAGAAUUCAGUGAAUCAUCGAAUCUUUGAACGCACCUUGCACCUCUUGGUAUUCCGAGAGGUACACCUGUUUGAGUGUCAUGAAUCUCUAUCCACUUUAUACACUCUGUGUAAGAGUCUAUAACAUUGGGAGUUGGAGGCUUGCAAUGGCCCUACUUAUAUGUAGGCUAUUGCUCCUCUUGAAUGUAUUAGUGAGGCCCUUGUUGCAACUUUCUCAUUGUAUCAUGCAGCCUUUGGUGUGAUAAUCAUUAAUUGUUAAUAACCCUCUGGCUUAACAUGAGUGGGAAAAUUGUUAUAUAACAGGACCCUUCACUUAGAGCCCUUUGAAUAAGAGUGGCUCAAUACCUUAACACAGCACUUGACCUCAAAUCAGGUGGGACUACCCGCUGAACUUAA